GUCCCUGUAGCUCAGUUGGAUAGAGCAUCGGUCUUCUAAACCGGCGGUCGCAGGUUCGAAUCCUGCCAGGGACG
rnacentral:tRNA from 2 species